ACAAAACUAGAAAUCUAUUAUCUAUAUUAGAACAAAACACUUUGGUGCCAUUUGGCAUUUGCUUAGGUUGCUUGAUGACACGUGGCAUCUCAUCCUCUCCUCUUUUUUUCCUUUGAGCGGCAAAUAUUUCUUCCUUCCUACGCUCUUUUUGUUUUUGAAACCGCCAGAAUUUUGGAAACUAAUCAAUUCUCUCAAUCAAUUGAAAUCGUUAUCCACCCAAACCCUAAAUCAUUCUUUCAACGGUUUCUCUCUGGCUUCACUCUACAUCCUCUUCAAAUCAAACUUGGAUCCAUGGAUUAUUUUCAAUGAAGAAUCUAACUAAUGUUGUAAGUUAUUAUCAUUCAGAUGAAAUUCAUGGUUGAUAUAGAACUUUGGAUCCCAUAUGCUUUCUAUCCAUAUGUUGUUAUUGAGGAAGAUUCAGGCGCUGGAGUUAGAGGCAAGAGUAUGUUCAUAUCCAUAUACAGCAAAGAAAUGGUAGGAAAAGCUUAACAGCAGUUCAGGGUAUGAAAAAGGGAAAUCUUGGGGACAGGCAACGGUUGGAGACAUAUCAAUAUAUGAACACUAUAUCAGGAUUGAAAAGGCUCGAUUACGAGAUGAACUUGACCACCUCAAUUGAAAGAACCCUAGAUCUCAUCUCUCUACGAUCAAAAGUACCCUGGUUUUUUUUUCAAAAAACGACAUUCAACAAACCAUCAUAGAAGUCAUCAAUCUGGUAUGUUAGUAUUCGUUUCAAUCUGUAGUCUGUGGAUUUGAAGAUUUUGAAGUUUGAAUUUGAUGGAUUAAUGUAUGUUAGUUACAAUAUAUAUUACUUACUAUUAAUACUGAUUUGAUGAACUGAUGUAUAUCAGUUAGGAUUGAUAUCGAGUUGCUGGAUUGAUAUAUAUUCGUGUUAAGGACUGGUAUACUGAUUUACAAAUGAUCCGACUUAUAUUCGUGUUAGUUUGAUCGGCGAUAUGAAUAGGACAAAAUGAUCUAUUGAUUAGUUUCAUGAAGGCUUGCUAUUGCGUAUUAAGGUUAUAAAUCCGUCUUUAUCAUUCUUAUGUGUGAUGUGUCUGUUAGGAUCGGUUAUAACGGCUAUUCAAAUCAGUUUACUUUUCUGUUUGACUUUUUGGUCAAACCUGACUGAAUCUGGUAAACUCUGAUUUUUGCUGAUUGUAAUCAGCUUCUGGUGACCUGGUCAAACAGCGGCUGCUGUUGACUUUUGUUGACCAGUAGGUUGACCCAAUCAACUUGGACCGGCAGCGGCAGUGGGUUGUAAAAUGAUCAUAGCAGCUGCUGAUGAUCCUGAGCACCAAAAAAUACAACUAAACACUCAAAAGCUUAAAUAAAAACGAUACAAGAAUUUACGUGGUUUGACCUACAUCUAUAACUGCACUAGCGAGUCUAUUUUAUUUCUUUUGAGGUGGUGAAUUACAAUUACAUCAGGGUUGUAUUUAUAGGUUAAAUAUUUAGGGUGACUUGAGUUGAUAAAAAUAGGAAUGGCAGGGAGGUGUUAUCUACUAUGGGUCGGGUUGCAAAUCUAAAAGUACGUAGUAAUUGGUAUUAGCAUUUAGAAGCGCUGU